GGGCCCGCACAAGCGGUGGAGUAUGUGGUUUAAUUCGAUGCAACGCGAAGAACCUUACCAGGGUUUGACAUCCUGCGAAUCUCUUGGAAACGAGAGAGUGCCUUCGGGAGCGCAGUGACAGGUGGUGCAUGGCUGUCGUCAGCUCGUGUCGUGAGAUGUCGGGUUAAGUCCCUUAACGAGCGAAACCCUUAUCUCUAGUUGCCAGCGGGUAAUGCCGGGGACUCUAGAGAGACUGCCGGUGUCAAACCGGAGGAAGGUGGGGAUGACGUCAAGUCCUCAUGGCCUUUAUGUCUAGGGCUGCACACGUCCUACAAUGGUACGGACAAACGGACGCAAUACCGCGAGGUGGAGCAAAUCCUAGAAACCGUGCCUCAGUUCGGAUUGCAGGCUGCAACUCGCCUGCAUGAAGCCGGAAUCGCUAGUAAUCGC
rnacentral:rRNA from 1 species